rnacentral:sRNA from 2 species
UUGAUCGGAUCGCCGAGUGCUGCCGCCGAUCGAGGUCCCCUCACGACCCACACGGCAGCAGCGGGGGAACCACCACGGGCACCGGUGACGGUGUCCUCGGGGUGAAGCCUCGGGAGCGUCCGCGGACGCCGACGAGGCCGGGUGAUCUCCCACCCGAACCCGACAGCUCACCUCGCAGGCGUACGGAGAGGUUCC